AGCAACUUCUUUCAGAAUCAUUCUUUUAAUUCCUCCUUUAAAUUCCUGGCUAGGAAAAUGGCUGUGAGAUCCAGAAAGAGAAGACAAACAUAGUUGUCAUAAUCCCUUGGGUGAAUGAACUACCUGAGUGAACUUUUUAGGUAUUUUGAGAAAACACGUAGUGUUCUGAGAGGCUGAACUGGAGAACACGCCUUCAUGCCACUUGGAAUGGAGAAGUAAAAAGCUACACACGUUAUGUUUACUCACAAUGCAAAAGUUUCACCGCUGAUGACUGGGGACCAACUGGCUAAGCAGAAAAGGACCUGGGGAUUACAGUGAAGGAGAAGCUGGAUAUGAGUCAGCUGUGUUACUGAAGUAAAAAGCUACACGCUAUGUUUACUCAGAAUG